GCCUGGCCAGCUCAGUCGGUAGAGCAUGAUACUCUUAAUCUCAGAGUCGGGGGUUCGAGCCCCUCGUUGGGCG
rfam:Daphnia pulex DAPPTscaffold_321_Cont8675, whole genome shotgun sequence.